UAAAUCUAAUUGAACAAAGAGCUGUUUUAGCACACCAAUCAGGGUUAAAGAUGGAGCGACAAAGAGAGAGGUAUUUUUUUAGAGCGAGAUUGUGGUCAUAUCGAUUUUCGGGUUGGUUGGUGAUUUAGACCAUCGAGAAUUGUGACUUAAAUUAGACAAUGACAUUCGUUGGUUUAGCGGAACACCUCUUCUAAGUAUAUUUUUCACGAUGUGGGGACGAGGAUGUUAAAGGUGUCCAAAAAUGUCAUUGGAUUUGAACGAUUUCUUUUGUCAGUGGAAUGUUUCUUUCAAUUUGUUUCUUUUUCUAACUUGAAGAUGCUUUUUUAAGUCAGACGCACACACGGGAAAUAGCUUUUUUAGAGUCCAUAAACCACCAAGAAAAUUUUGUUUCUCUUCCAGAAGUAGUUCAGUUUUGGAAAUGCUGGUAAUUGUUGUUGUUGUAAUGGUAGUAGAAGUAAUAAUGAUAAUAAUAGCAAUAGUAGUUAGAUGAUAUCCAUGCACAUUGAAAGUGUGGUCGGAGAUUUAAAGAGAUGAUAGUUGUAGUAAUAGCGGUAGUAGCAGUAGUGGUUGUUGUAGUAGUAGCAGUAGUAGUAGUUGUAGUAGUAGUAGUCGUAUUAGUAUAUAGUAAAUAUAUAAUAUGAUGGACUAUUAAGCAAGCAUGACAGGCGUGCCAUUCACCAUCCAAGAGCACAACAACAGAAGAAGCAGCUUCGUUCGGAGUAUCGAAAGGCCCAUGGGCCAUAUGGGGAAUACGGUUCACCCUUGUCUCCUCCAGGCCUAUUAGGCUAAGUAAACUAGGCAUGAAAGGUGAAUGCACCCACAAAGAGAUACGUUGUACGAACUAACGACCUUCAGCAAGCCAAUUCCAAAUGUCCACGAGUUUCGUCUAGGUGAACCAUAUUCCCCGGCCUUUCAAAGCGAAAGCUGGGAUUCCAAACUCGUUGCGAACUUCUGCUCGGCAGUGCGAUAUUAAAGAAGAGGCCAAGGGGCGUGGCACCACUUACCAAAUUUAGCCAAAUAUUUGUGAAUGGAAAAAUAAUGUCUGCUGCGACUUUCUCCUUCGGCUCGUGACGAGGAGAACAAAAUACCACUUGACAAGCACCCGGGAUCCAACACGAGCCGACUCUUGGUCCUAGUCCGUACUAUGUA